CCUGUUUAACAAAAACAUGUCUUUUUGAGUUAUUUUUAAAGUCUGACCUGCCCACUGAAGUUAUUUAAAUGGCCGCAGUAUUCUAACUGUGCAAAGGUAGCAUAAUCAUUAGUCUUUUAAUUGAAGGCUGGUAUGAACGGUUGGACGAGGUAUAAGCUGUUUCAUAUAAAUUUAUAAUAGAAUUUUAUAUUUUAGUCAAAAAGCUAAAAUUUAAUUAAAAGACGAGAAGACCCUAUAAAUCUUUAUACUUUACAUUGUUUAAAUUUUUUAGGUUAAUUUUAUUUUUAUAAUUUAAAGUAUUUUGUUGGGGUGAUAUUAAAAUUUAAUGAACUUUUAAUUAUUUAAAAUCAUUAAUUUAUGAGUUAUUGAUCCAUUAGUAGUGAUUAUAAGAUUAAGUUACUUUAGGGAUAACAGCGUAAUUUUUUUGGAGAGUUCAUAUCGAUAAAAAAGUUUGCGACCUCGAUGUUGGAUUAAGAUAUAUUUUUAGGUGUAGCCGCUUAAAU
rnacentral:rRNA from 1 species